UGGAGGUUCAGGUAUUGCACACCAACCCUCAAUACGUUUAGAUGAAUUGAUUUGUGCCCCAAAAUUCACAUCAAUUUGCUGGACCAAAGUCUCUAUAUUCUUUACCGUCACUAAGGUUUUCUUCACAUCUCUUAUGCUAUGCGCUUUCAGGAUAUCCAACAAUCUUUGCAGAGAUUUGCCCAGUUGACCUAGUUUGUUUCUGUAUAUAUAUUUUUCGUCAGUACUCAGUGGAGCAAC
rnacentral:lncRNA from 1 species